AAAAAUCAAUGCAUAGAAAUUGUACGUAUAAAUAAAUGUAUAUAUCAAUUUAAACAUAAAUAUAUUAUAAGUAUAUGUAUAUACAUUGAUCACACGUACUACUAACAUUUGAAGUUAAUUUGUUUGCAUAAAUUUUAAAUUACUUUGGUUUAUUAUUUAUUUUUUUUAUUAUUUUUUGGACAUCGUGCACAAUUAUUGAACAAAAUAUAUGUCUCAUUAAAUAUAUAUAUAUAUUGUGCUUGCCGCUUAUAUUUUACAUAUCUCAUAUAUCACAUAAGUUGUAUAUAUAACACACCAGAAGAUAUAAACUAAAUAAUAAACGAAAUAUAAAUAAAAAUGGAUUCAGAGUAUCAAGGUUUAUUAAAUGGAAAAGAAAGAGAGGAAGAAACAAAUGGAACUCAUAUAGCUGAGAAAGUCGAAAAGGGUGGUGAAACAGUUGAAAAUACAUUGAUGAAAUUAAAUGUAAGAUAUCAAACUUUAUUUUUUUCAUCUGGUGUCAUGACUGUUUUUUGUGGUAUCAUCUCAUUACUAGAAUCGAUCAGAUAUUUUUAUUUUACUAACUUUAUAGUUUCAACUUUCUUAAUAACUAUGGGAUUAAUAAUGAUGAUUUUAGAUACACCAGGUACACCCCGGUGGGCUGCGAAACAUAGAAUUAUGAUAAGAAAAUACAUAAAAUUUUUAACAAGAUUAACUGGAAAGGCAGUAUGGUUUUUCUUUCUAGGUAAGGCAAGAAAUGUGCAUACAUAUUGUACACAUAUGUGCCACUUAAAAAAAGACGAUGAAAUAUAAUACAAACAUAUGUCUAUAUUCUUCUACAUGUUUUUUAUUCAUUGUAAAAUAUGUUGUAAAAUAUGUUGUAAAAUAUAUUGUUAAUUAAUUUAUUUGUUUAUUUUUUUUUUUAUCGCAUUGGUGUAUAUGCAAGUGUAUAUCUUCACAUUUAUUCAUCCCAUUUUAUAUUAUCUUAUUUUGCUCUGAUCUGCUUUAAUUUUAUUUUAUCUUAUUUUAUCUUAUUUUAUUUUAUUUUAUUUUAUCUUGUUUUUUUUUUUUUUUUUUUUUUUUUUUUUAGGAACAGGCUCUGUUUCAUGCCUAAAUCUGUGGCCACAAGCAAAAAAGGUUACUUUCUUUAGAUCAUUUUGGGUAACAAUAUGUAGCACAUUUAUUUUGGCUGUUUCAGUUGUUGGAUUUUUAAUAGGUUUAAGGAAAUCCUUAAGAUUAGAAAAGUUAAAAAAAACUAUUAAAUUAGUUUCUAAAGGUGCUUAUAUUGAUUGUUAUAGA
rnacentral:lncRNA from 1 species